UACGUAGGGUGCGAGCGUUGUCCGGAAUUAUUGGGCGUAAAGAGCUCGUAGGCGGUGUGUCGCGUCGGCCGUGAAAACCUGCAGCUUAACUGUGGGCUUGCGGUCGAUACGGGCAUCACUGGAGUUCGGCAGGGGAGACUGGAAUUCCUGGUGUAGCGGUGAAAUGCGCAGAUAUCAGGAGGAACACCGGUGGCGAAGGCGGUUCUCUGGGCAUGUCCUGACGCUGAGGAGCGAAAGUGUGGGGAGCGAACAGG
rnacentral:rRNA from 1 species